rnacentral:lncRNA from 1 species
GAAGAGUUAGACUCUAGAAAGCGUAUAGAGAAAGUGAGAAAUGAUUCCGACUCAGAUCCAAAUUUUCGCUCUGCUCUGAGUUCAAUAGUUUGCGCUGAAUUGUUCUUGAGUCGGGUAGGGUUGGAAGCUGCAAGUAGGAAAGUUUGAGGUGAGUUUGACUCGCUCCACUCAUCCGAGUUGGGGAGUUCACAUAUCCAUGACCAUAUAUCCAUAUUUUCUUGGUGUAAUAUCCCCUUUCUCUUAAGGAUUUUAUUGUUUAAGAUUCUUGAAUAUGGAGAAGAGUGCUGGGAUUUAUAGAGAGAAUGAGUGAUGCUAAGGUUGCCAACUUGAAAUAAGUUUUGUGGGUUCAAGGGAAUCAAACUUUGUGGUUAUGGAUGAGACUUGUGUGCACCAUUCGAUUCUGCGGUUUUGGUCAUUGGAUGCAUUAAUUGCUUAGAUAAUACUAACAUUCAAGGCUUAUUUUUCUUCUUGAAUUAAUGUAUUUAUUCCCCGUUUUAGUAUAAUAUAAUUUUGGAGCGUUUGAGAAAAAUCGGAAAUUGAGGACCAUAGCCAAAUUUUCUUAUUGUUUUCUUAAUUUAUAUGAUGUAAAUUUGCAAGAAAUCGAGUACAGAAGACUAGGGACAUUGGAUUUUUAGGAAUUGUGGACGAAAUCGUUCACAAGAUCCGUUUUCAAUGAAGUUUGGAGGUAUUGUCAUAUAAGACACGGGAUAUAUGGGAUUUUUCGUAGUUAUGGACGGAAACAUACACAUUGCCAUCUUCUAUAUUUUUCUCGAGAUUAAGUUUUUGCUUGGCUCCUAAAUUAUUUGAUUGAUAAAUUGAUUAGUCUGAAUAUGUGAAGUUUUCACCUCUGUGCAUUUGGAUUUAAAGAAAAUGUUUGCGUGGUUCGUGCAAAAUAAAAGAAGAUGUCGUUUUCCUUUCAUUUUUAUAAUUGAUGAUGAUAUGUGGAAAUUUUACAUGAAAUGAAAGGAACUUUCAUCAUUGUGACAUUGCUGUAUGAAAUUGUAAUAGCACUUGAUCAGUGCUGUUUAGGUUGGGUGAUCGGUUCUGCUGUGCUAAUGUGCACGCGGCUUACGAUGUUACACGUCCUACAAGACAAUGAGUGAUUAAUGAACUCGUGAACCUUUGACUCUACUUACCUGUUGCAUCUUUGACCGCUAAUUUUUUCUUCCAAUAGCUAAUUAUUCUCUUAACUUUUAAAAAUGAGGUGGUUGCUUUUCAUUAUAAUUGCUUAAGUCGAAAUUAUUUAAGCCGGGCAUGUUUUUAAGUGUGUAUAAAUUGUAUGUCCUAUGGAAAUAUGUAAAUAAUAAGUGAUUGGGUUAUGAAUCUUAUGAAAUGUGUGAAUAAAGAAUAUGAUUGAUUAUGGCUUAAUGGUAAGAUUGCUUAAUGUUAAGAUGAUCAAAGAACAGAAUUAUAACGAAGAAUUGCUCCAAGGUUCUUUAAGGGUUAUAGUUGUAUCGACUUGGUGAACAUGCAUCCUUGGGUCCCGUGAUGCAUAAUAUUAGAGUGAUAGAUCAAUAUGCUUGCUUGGAUGAAAUGAUAAUGAAAAAAAGAAUAGUUCGUUCAACGAAAUACGUAGAUGAUAAAUGAAUAGUGAUUAUGAAAGUGUGUUUAGUAAUGUUUGACUUUGAUUUCAAACUAUAAUGAGACUAUAAUUUUAUUCAAAUGAGCACAAUAUUUUUUUUAAACAUCACUAAUAAUUUUAAUAUGAUAUGCAAAAAUGUUGUGUUUCGAAAAAAAAAAAAAGAUAAAAAAAAAUUGAGGGUCACAAAAAAUUUAACAAAGACGUUUACCGUCUUUUUAUCAUCGUUUCAUUUUUUUUAUUUUUUUUUACAUGCAAAAAAGAAAGAAAACCAUGUACAUAUCCGGGCAAGGAAGAUGAAGUUGAAGAAAUUUGAGAAAGAUUCUGGUGAGUGGGAGUCUAGAGUCCAUGAAACUGGCUCGGGUUUCAGCUUUUGGAGCUGUGAACGAGGGCAAGUGCUAUCAUGUGCGGUGGGGGAACGGGAUACAAUCUCUUGAAGGAGUUGGAGUAUUAGAGGCAAGAAUGGCUUGUCUGAAGCCAAGGGACAAAUAUCAGAAGUCCAUAUGAUUAUCUCUGCUGCAAUAGAAGAGUUAGACUCUAGAAAGCGUAUAGAGAAAGUGAGAAAUGAUUCCGACUCAGAUCCAAAUUUUCGCUCUGCUCUGAGUUCAAUAGUUUGCGCUGAAUUGUUCUUGAGUCGGGUAGGGUUGGAAGCUGCAAGUAGGAAAGUUUGAGGUGAGUUUGACUCGCUCCACUCAUCCGAGUUGGGGAGUUCACAUAUCCAUGACCAUAUAUCCAUAUUUUCUUGGUGUAAUAUCCCCUUUCUCUUAAGGAUUUUAUUGUUUAAGAUUCUUGAAUAUGGAGAAGAGUGC